GACCAGACUCCUACGGGAGGCAGCAGUGGGGAAUAUUGCACAAUGGGGGGAACCCUGAUGCAGCGACGCCGCGUGGGUGAAGGAGCACCUCGGUGCGUAAAGCCCUAUCGGCAGGGAAGAAACAGACGGUACCUGACUAAGAAGCCCCGGCUAACUACGUGCCAGCAGCCGCGGUAAUACGUAGGGGGCAAGCGUUAUCCGGAUUUACUGGGUGUAAAGGGAGCGUAGACGGCAAUGCAAGCCAGAUGUGAAAGCCCGGGGCUCAACCCCGGGACUGCAUUUGGAACUGUGUAGCUGGAGUGUCGGAGAGGCAGGCGGAAUUCCUAGUGUAGCGGUGAAAUGCGUAGAUAUUAGGAGGAACACCAGUGGCGAAGGCGGCCUGCUGGACGAUGACUGACGUUGAGGCUCGAAAGCGUGGGGAGCAAACAGGAUUAGAUACCCCCGUA
rnacentral:rRNA from 1 species